rnacentral:rRNA from 1 species
UCAGGAUGAACGCUAGCUACAGGCUUACACAUGCAAGUCGAGGGGCAGCAUGGUCUUAGCUUGCUAAGGCCGAUGGCGACCGGCGCACGGGUGAGUAACACGUAUCCAACCUGCCGUCUACUCUUGGACAGCCUUCUGAAAGGAAGAUUAAUACAAGAUGGCAUCAUGAGUCCGCAUGUUCACAUGAUUAAAGGUAUUCCGGUAGACGAUGGGGAUGCGUUCCAUUAGAUAGUAGGCGGGGUAACGGCCCACCUAGUCUUCGAUGGAUAGGGGUUCUGAGAGGAAGGUCCCCCACAUUGGAACUGAGACACGGUCCAAACUCCUACGGGAGGCAGCAGUGAGGAAUAUUGGUCAAUGGGCGAGAGCCUGAACCAGCCAAGUAGCGUGAAGGAUGACUGCCCUAUGGGUUGUAAACUUCUUUUAUAAAGGAAUAAAGUCGGGUAUGGAUACCCGUUUGCAUGUACUUUAUGAAUAAGGAUCGGCUAACUCCGUGCCAGCAGCCGCGGUAAUACGGAGGAUCCGAGCGUUAUCCGGAUUUAUUGGGUUUAAAGGGAGCGUAGAUGGAUGUUUAAGUCAGUUGUGAAAGUUUGCGGCUCAACCGUAAAAUUGCAGUUGAUACUGGAUAUCUUGAGUGCAGUUGAGGCAGGCGGAAUUCGUGGUGUAGCGGUGAAAUGCUUAGAUAUCACGAAGAACUCCGAUUGCGAAGGCAGCCUGCUAAGCUGCAACUGACAUUGAGGCUCGAAAGUGUGGGUAUCAACAGGAUA